rnacentral:tRNA from 4 species
GCGGGAAUAGCUCAGCUGGUAGAGCGCAACCUUGCCAAGGUUGAGGUCGCGAGUUCGAGUCUCGUUUCCCGCU